rnacentral:lncRNA from 1 species
UUGUUCGUCACUUCCUUAUUGAUACGUGAAAGAAUUACAAUAUUUUAUGCCUCUACCGGCCGCACGAACUAAUGAUGUGAUCAAUUCCCUUAAUUUCAUAUUGAUAGCUAGUGAUCUUAGCAAAUAGAAAUUAAUGAUGUGAUCAAUUCCCUUAAGGAAGACAUAGCACAGGCUAAUGACAUUAAUCGUGUCAGAUGUCAAUCUAGAAAAAGAUCCGGUGAUGAUCAAGUAGAGAAAACAUAAGAAAAUCAAAUCAUUUAGCAAACGGCCAUUGGUUGCUAAACUGAUAAAGAUCAUCCCAUUCGAAGCAGUCAAUGGUUCUCUUCUCAGCUGCAUUAAUUAAUUGCUCUGCUACUAAUGUUAUGUUACUCUACGUCGUGGUGGCUGAGAUUCCAUGAACUUCUGUUUCUCCAGUCCCUGCAACCCUGCAAAGAAGUUUGCGAUGGUGUGAUUACUGGAGAUUGUAUUCAGAAGUUGCUGAGGAAGAACACCCCACUCUCUCCAUUACGAGCCGCCUUUUUCUUUGUCCUGCUUACAUCCGGAUUGGAUUCCUCGUAGCACCCUCUUUUCCCGGAUGCCCUGCAUUUACAUAUAUAUUUAUAAUUUUAAAAUAAUGAAAAGGAACUAAUUGUUUUUUUUAAAUAAAAUAAAAUACAAGAGAGGGGGCGAACGUACUGGGACAUGACAUCGGCGGAUUAAAAAUUCUGGUAUAUCGCUGAUUCGAUAAUUGCAGCAGUAGUAAGAUAAAAGAUUGCUUUUCUCAAUGUUAGAAUAUGUCUAGAGAUUGAUGGAUUUUUUGCUCUUAUCAGUAUGGCACACUUAUCCUUGCUUACAAAUGUGAAAUUAGACAGAGUAUAUAGUAAUUGUUUUGAUAUAAUUAUGCCCAUUUUGUAUGUAUUGGCUGGUCUUUUGAGUACUGAUCGUGACAAGAGAAAGAAGCUCUAAAAAAUGAGAAAAGUUAGAAGAAAGAUGGAG